AACACGUAGUCAACAUGCCCAGAGGACGUGGAUAACCUCGGGAAACUGAGGAUAAACCGCGAUAGGCCAUGAUUUCUGGAAUGGUUCAUGGCUGAAAUCUAUAUGGCCUCUGGAUUGGACUGCGGCCGAUCAGGCUGUUGGUGAGGUAACGGCCCACCAAACCUGUAACCGGUACGGGCUCUGAGAGGAGGAGCCCGGAGAUGGGCACUGAGACAAGGGCCCAGGCCCUAUGGGGCGCAGCAGGCGCGAAACCUCUGCAAUGGGCGAAAGCCUGACAGGGUUACUCUGAGUGAUUUCCGCUAAGGGAAUCUUUUUGGCACCUCUAAAAAUGGUGCAGAAUAAGGGGUGGGCAAGUCUGGUGUCAGCCGCCGCGGUAAUACCAGCACCCCGAGUGGUCGGGACGAUUAUUGGGCCUAAAGCAUCCGUAGCCGGUCUUGCAAGUCUUCCGUUAAAUCCACCUGCUUAACAGAUGGGCUGCGGAGGAUACUAUAAGGCUAGGAGGCGGGAGAGGCAAGCGGUACUCAGUGGGUAGGGGUAAAAUCCUCUGAUCCAUUGAAGACCACCAGUGGCGAAGGCGGCUUGCCAGAACGCGCUCGACGGUGAGGGAUGAAAGCUGGGGGAGCAAACCGGAUUAGAUACCCGGGUAGUCCCAGCUGUAAACGAUGCAGACUCGGUGAUGGGCCGGCUUUAUGCCAGCUCAGUGCCGCAGGG
rnacentral:rRNA from 1 species